rnacentral:rRNA from 1 species
UACGUAAGAGACUAGUGUUAAUCAUCAUAAAUAGGUUUAAAGGGUACUCAGACGGAAAAUAUUCGCCUAAAAAAGGGACAAUUUUUCUAGAGUUUUAUGUAAGAAGAUCGUACUCUAGAGUGUAGAGAUCAUAUUUGUUGAUACCUAGGGGACUGGUGAAAGGCGAAGGCAAUCUUUUAUGUAAAAACUGACGUCGAAGGACGAAGGCAAAGGGCACGAACAGG